rnacentral:rRNA from 1 species
GGCAAGUCUGGUGCCAGCAGCCGCGGUAAUUCCAGCUCCAAUAGCGUAUAUUAAAGUUGUUGCAGUUAAAAAGCUCGUAGUUGAAUUUCGGGGUUAGUAGGUUGGUCAUGCCUCCGGUAUGUACUGAUCUCACUGAUUCCUCCUUCCUUAUGAACCGUAAUGCCAUUAAUUUGGUGUUGCGGGGAAUUUGGACUGUUACUUUGAAAAAAUUAGAGUGUUUAAAGCAGGC